AAUUUCUUAUCUCUCCUGAAUCUUCUAUUAUCAAAAACUUAUUCUGACUGGGUCAUCUACUGAUGACUGCCAGCAGUGGUAUUCUCAUCCUUAUCUAGAACAACUGUACUUUCAAGACUCGCCUUUAUGUACUCGUGCCUUGCACAAAAUAGGCACACCAUUUAAACCCAUACCGACAAAAAUAUAGUAUUUCUUGGAGUACGUAUCCUCA
rnacentral:misc_RNA from 1 species